rnacentral:rRNA from 1 species
CAGUCGAGCGAUGAAGUUUCUUCGGAAAUGGAUUAGCGGCGAACGGGUGAGGAACACGUGAAGAAUCUGCCCUCCACUUUGGGAUAACACCGGGAAACCGGCGCUAAUACUGAAUAUUGAAACAUAAGUGGCAUCACUGAGUUUUGAAAGAAUUUCGGUGGAGGAUGACUUCGCGGCCUAUCAGCUAGUUGGUGAGGUAAUGGCUCACCAAGGCAACGACGGGUAGCCGGCCUGAGAGGGCGACCGGCCACACUGGGACUGAGACACGGCCCAGACUCCUACGGGAGGCAGCAGUGGGGAAUAUUGGGCAAUGGAGGAAACUCUGACCCAGCGACGCCGCGUGCGGGAUGAAGGCCUUCGGGUUGUAAACCGCUUUCAGUAGGGAAGAAGCGAAAGUGACGGUACCUACAAAAGAAGCACCGGCUAACUAUGUGCCAGCAGCCGCGGUAAUACAUAGGGUGCAAGCGUUGUCCGGAAUUAUUGGGCGUAAAGAGCUCGUAGGUCGUUUGUUACGUCGGAUGUGAAAACCUGAGGCUCAACCUCAGGCCUGCAUUCGAUACGGGCAAACUAGAGUUUGGUAGGGGAGACUGGAAUUCCUGGUGUAGCGGUGGAAUGCGCAGAUAUCAGGAGGAACACCAAUGGCGAAGGCAGGUCUCUGGGCCAAUACUGACACUGAGGAGCGAAAGUCUGGGGAGCGAACAGGAUUAGAUACCCUGGUAGUCCAGACCGUAAACGGUGGGCACUAGUUGUGGGAACCUUCCACGGUUUCUGCGACGCAGCUAACGCAUUAAGUGCCCCGCCUGGGGAGUACGAUCGCAAGAUUAAAACUCAAAGGAAUUGACGGG